UAAAAGCAACACACUGAACAGUAAGGGCAAAAAUUCUACAUAAAUACUGUUUAUAAAAUAAAAUAAUGACUUCCUAUUCAAUGGAAUAUGCAACUUAGAAGGUUAAUUUUUAAAAAUGAGAAAUUGUGCAUAUUUGAGUAUUAAAAAGACAGACUAUUUACAAUAGAUGAUUGUAAAAACAGUGGAACAGCAGAGAAAUUCAGAAAUCAGCAUUAAUGUUAUAAUGUUAUUUAAAAUAUGUAAAAGCCAGGAUGUGUACAUAUAUUGUUUGUUUUUUUUUUACUUAAUUAUAAACUGUUACAAAUAUACUGAAAUACCAGUAGUCAAUAAAUUACUGAAGUAAGAGUAAACAAGUAACUGGUAAAAAGAUCUCCUGAGUUCUAAGUAAAAGACCUGAUUGUGUGACUUAAUAUUUUAAAAAUAAAGUAAUCAGACAGACAUGAAUGCAAAUUGUCGUAUUAAAAAUGAAUACAAGUAACAUAAUUACAAAGUAGUAAUUUUAAGCAGAAGAAGCACUUUUCCAAAUCAGCCCAUCCAUCCAUUCAUCCACUGAAUGUCAAGGUAAACAUCUAACGUGUUAACACCGCAGCUCUUCAAAGUAAAAGCAUUUCCGGCCGUGCUUUAUUGUGUUGGUACCCUGAGCGGAAGUGGAGUGUAAGCGUUAGAUAAGGAGCUCAGCAUCGACUCCGCUGCUGCUGCUGCUGCGCUUCUCUUCACUGUGACUGUGCGGAGAUGUUAGACCGUUCCCGGUGAAAAAAGCACCGAAGCUCUGCCCCGUGGAAAUGCCUCACCGCCGCAGGCUGUAACCGAGCGGGAUUCGCGGACAGCCGAGCGGGGCAGAGAAGGCCAGGUCUCCGGGACAGGUUGGGAGGAAAACACCGGCAGGAUGUGGCAAGUUUUAGCAUGCGGGGCUGUAGUUUUCCCCGGUCUUUUCUUCGUCUUCAAGAAGAUUCUGCCCGCUGUGUUCAAACACUGGACCGAUGCCGACGUGGUUCUGGUCAGCGAGAGGCUGGUGUCCUCCAUCCACGCUGUCAUGGCAACAACAACGGGGAUCAUCGUCGUUUCCUCAUGCAGCAGCAACAUAAUUUAUGACAGG